rnacentral:rRNA from 1 species
UACGGAGGAUCCGAGCGUUAUCCGGAUUUAUUGGGUUUAAAGGGUGCGUAGGCGGCCUAUUAAGUCAGGGGUGAAAGACGGUAGCUUAACUAUCGCAGUGCCUUUGAUACUGAUAGGCUUGAAUGUACUUGAGGUAGGCGGAAUGUGACAAGUAGCGGUGAAAUGCAUAGAUAUGACACAGAACACCAAUUGCGAAGGCAGCUUACUAAAGUAUGAUUGACGCUGAGGCACGAAAGCGUGGGGAUCAAACAGG